UCGGCGUGCACGCGCGAGAGCACCAAGCACGUAACCGUUCGGAGACUGUCUGGAGUGUGUCUGAAAUUGAUAAAAUUGGAAAUGGAGUUUUGCGUCUCUUCGCUCAUUCACCGGGAAGCCGCCGGCUGGAAAAAGGGAAAUCUUUGCCGUCCUCCUCAGACGCCUUCGCCCACGAGUCGCUACGCUCAGCCGAAAUAUUUUUUUUUUUAGAUAAACGCUGUGAAAGUUUUUUCUCCUGCAGUCUAUCAGCAGACAGCUCUUUAUGUUCAGGCAGGGGAUCAUCCUCCAGCUUUCUAGAGUUCAAGAGGAGUGCACCAACCAGGAGGCAGCCUGCAAGAGCACAGAAAGGCCUGUCCCAAACCUGAUCCAGGGUCUGACAAAAAUAAUUGGAAUUGCAAUUAGAAAGGAGAAUCAUGGUUUCUUCCAACCUAUCAUGCCUUCAUGUCUUUGACCCUGGAGUGUACUCACCCAAAUGCGUAGAGAGCUGGUGGUGGACUAGGAGGAAGAUGUCAUGCUAAGGAUGGGUUUUGGUGAUGAUGUUGCUACUGUUGAUGCAGCAUCGAGCUCUCACUUUGUGCCUCUGUCAGCUAUGAUCCGUAACCACAAAGUGAGUGACAGGCCAGUCCUCGGGGAAAGCAGGGGGCCUGAGGACGCCACCGGCCGGCGGGGAUGGCUCAGCCGGUUCUCCUCUGGCUUUUGAGCCGGGGCUGCGCGUAAAAACUGAGGGGGGAUCCGUGGAAGACCUGAGGAGCAGCCAGACUGAGACUGAGAUUGUCUUAUACGUCACCAGCGCUCAGUACUAUGGAGUACUACAAAAGGUGACGCGCAGAAGGAGGAUUUGUGAAUGGACGCCGUGAUGUGUGCCAGCUCACAGAUCAGAGGGCGGUGGGACCUCUGCAGAUGCACCCCGAGCCCCACCACUCCUCCCUCCCUCCCUCCCUGCCUCCCCUCCCUCACCCGGUCUCCCUCCCUCCCUCCCUCCCUCCCUCCCUCCACAUGAAUGGGGGUCUCUAAGAUAUCAGCUCUGUCACCAUUGCAGGGGUCGGACCAAAUCCUCCAGCUUCCUGUGCCCCUUUUCAAAAACCUGAAAGCACGUCUCUCCUAUUUGAUGAUCCUGUAUGAUUUUUUUUGUUGUUGUUGCUCUUUUGUGGGACUGGAAGCUCCACUGCCCCCUGCUUUUUUUUUUCUUCACCCCCUCCUAUCCCGGGUCAGCCAAGAGCAUGGCAGCCGAAUUAGAACAGAUUAGAAGCGACCCUAAUUGUAUGUAGUCGAGAAUGCAAAAAGUCAGUCAGUUUGGAAAUACAAAUCGUGUAGGAGAAAAAAAAGGGUUGUGAGGAGGGAGUUACACCUGUUUCCAAAUGCUCCACUGUUUCCCAGGAAUUAUCCAGAAACAAUAAGUGUGCCAGUGCGUCAAAUCAGGGGAGAUCUCAAGGAAAACACAAUUUGGAUUCAACACAAAUUGACUUAUUUUUGAACAUUUUUGCAUUUUGCAUCAAGAUAUGCACGUCUUUUCAGUGUAAAAUACAAGAAUCUACCAAUUAUAGCUUGAAAUACCGCAGGUAGUUUUAUUCUAAAAUCUCCAAUAAGUCGGACUUUGUAAUUUUCAACUAAAUCAUGCUGUAAGGUGAUGCUUCUCAAAAUUAGUUUCCUUGUUUCCGGUGUAAAAUCACCUCCCUCCACUAUUUAUUCAUCAUACAUCACAACAUGUAGAUGAUGUCUAUAUAAUUUUCUUUCCGUGGUUUGAAUGUGUUUGCAGAGAAAUCCUCUGGAGUCGCAACGUAACGGACUUUAGUGCUGCUGGUUUCAGCCCUUUAUAGGUUUUAAUAACUCUUAAUCCGUCUGAUCGGUCUGGCGUAGAUAAGUCUCAUUUGAAUUGGGAUUGUUCUUAAGGAGCGGCUCGUAUUUCUCCGCAGAAGUCUCAAACAGAGCUUAGCACAAACAACUGCACCACCCUGAGCGCAAUUAAGGCCUCAGCUAAAUUAGAUGGAGGCUAAUUGAAUGCAGCUGAGUUCCCAUCAGCAAACUCUUGAAUGCUAUGAGGCAAACGGCCAGCUUAUAGCCACGAAUUCUUUUUUAAAAAAGUAUUUUUGUAAAAUGUAAAAAAGUAACAUUCUCACAGACGUGAAGCAGCGUUGUGAUUUGCAUUAUUUUGGAAGAGAAAAACAACUUAAAAUUGCUAAUAGGAUGCAAGACUAAAUGGAAAAAUUUCUUUAGUUAUAGGUGAAGACAUAGGAGGUUUGUGCCUCUAAAAAAAUACAGAAAAUAUAACUUACACUGCGAAAAGUUAUGUGAUUUAAGUGUUAAUUUCUGGUCUUGUAAAACAGUCUCAUAGCUCUUAGUGUUCUUUUAACCGUGCUUCUAAUUAAUAAAAAAAAAAAGAAGAAAAAAAUAACUUUACUGUGACCUAAAGUCGCUUUACAGGACACGAGAGUGCCAAAAAUAGUGAAUGUAAAGAGUCCUCCUGUUCCAUUUCGCGAUGUUUAGAAGACGUAGAAUUUAUCCCUGUCCAAAAUAACGAACUAACCCUGACUAUAAAUAAAAUUUUAACAACCGUACCAAAAAUAAUAGCAGCCAAACUCCAAUGCCGAAAUAAAAUCUUUCCCUCACAUGCGUAAUUCCAACCUGGCACAGGAGGAAAUUCUUGCUCAACGUGCAUUUUAAAAUCAUUCUCUAUCUUAUUCCUUCUUUUUAAAAAAACAAAUCAAAGAUGCCGCAAGGCAGUGAGACUAUUACUAAUUCUUACUUUAUUUGUGAUGAACAUAAAGAGUUAACAAAGAAGAUUUAAGAGGGGAAAAUAUGCGCAAAACGAGGACGCACAGAAGUUGACUCUAAGUCAUGUUUAGCCUUAUAAACAGACCCGAAUCUCCUCUUUCUUUGUUUUUGUACUAUAACUGACGUGUUGCACUUUUAUUCUCACGUCAGAAUAAACGCGUAAAAGUCAUUUAAAGUCCUCGUUGCUUUAAUUAGACCCAGAGAAUUUUCACAAAGCCCCUAAAUCCCCCUCUGUGCUGCUGUAAAGCGCAACGUUAUCUUUGUGACGCUCAACUGGUGUCAGGCCUCAGUGUUCCUCUGGAGAUCUGCAGAAGGUCUGCAGGACUUUUAACAUGUCGGGACGUCUUACUUGUGACCCCAAAGAAUGAACUCCACGUGGUGGCUAUUUCUGUGAGGUUAAUGGGUUUACAUUCUCAGUCACACAGAACAAAUAAGCUACCAUGCAACAUGUGGGGGGUUAGUUUUAGAGGGACCAGAGGAGGGGGCAGAGCUCAAAGAAUCAAGCCAGUGUAAUGUAAAAAGCACCAAAACAGCACCGCAGUCUACCUGGUGUUCAGGGCAGUGACCCCGACUCGGCUCAGCUCGGUGGCCCCUGAAGUUUUUGGUCCCUGAUGCUCCUGCGGGUCACCCAGGAUGCUCUUCGGUUUUUGGAUUGUGUGCGUUCCUCGUACACCUGUCACGCACCGAGGAAGGGAGGAACAAGUGGGAGAGGGAGACAGGUGGAAAGCACUUGCUGCUGAACAAACUCAGAUUUUGGUGCGCCGGAGCAGGUUUUACGCACGCAGGUAGACCUGCUGGUUCUGCAGCGUGAAGUGAAAAAUCACCAGAAAACUGAGAAAUCUUUUAGUUUGAUUUCAUUUAAAGAUUAUCCCGCAAGAACUGAGUUGCACUACAUCUCUGCAAGGUGCAUGUCUUCCUAUGAAUUUAAGUUAAAUUUUCCAAAUCUUACUCGUCUUCAGUUUAAGUUGAAAGUAGCAGAAAGUGGAUUUCCUGUGCGUCUGGCCGGUUACAAAUUCUAAACCAACAAGCAAAACGUGAUCAUAUCACUGCAUAGAGUUAAACAGUGAAUAGAAGUCGUUUUUAAAAAGCACUGCCAUUAGGUUUUUCUUCGCUUUCUUUCCUUUUUCAGAAUCUAAAUGCGAGAAACAAUCUCUGUUAUGUCUCAGGGUCCCAGCUUGCAACUUUAAUUAUAGUGGAAGAAGGUCAGUCAUAAGCGGUUAUUCGACCCCUCUCCUUGUGUGGCAUCGCGCCCUUUGCCGUUAAACUCGCCAAAAUAGUGCUGGACUCCCCUGAAAGCGCCAUGUGCGCCAGAGUCCCUUUCACCCCCGUGUGCACCUGAGUUGUUUUUACCCCCCAGGAGCGGAUAUGCUGUGAAUUUGUCACUUAUCUGGGCACGGGCUCGUCAGAGGACAUUUUAGGAGCAAUAACUUUCCCAGAUGGUUUAGGCUGCCAACUUAGUGCGUUUCUCAGCAGCUAAGUGAAUAGCCUGCAUGCCUGUUGCUUCCUAGAAAUAUGCUUACGCCUACUAAUGAAGACUAAUUAAAACAUGACAAACAUGGACCUUUACUGCAUCCUAAGUAGGGCUGCAAGCAUGAUUUGGAUUAUGCAAAUGAAUUCCCUUUUCUUUGACAAUAUAAGUAGGAAAACACGCUCCUCUGAUGUGUGUCAAAUAAGGCUGUUGUAAUUUGAUCUGUGUUUUGAUUUUUAUGAUAGCCUACGCAAAAUAACUGAAUCAUUGUUUUUCAUACUAAAUUUCAUACCCAGGCCUGCAAACACAGUUAAUCUCCUUGAAUCCGGAUAGAAAGAGCAGCCCCUCAUAUUUAAUUCUUUUAUUAUUUUUAAGAAAACUAAAGGAAUAAGCAUAACCUGCCCUGUUUACCAGUUCACAAUAUGCAGAGUUCUUGUCUGCCUCUGCAAGAUACACCUUGCAAUGGAAAUGCUCACCUUGAUUUAUUCCAUUAGCCUUUUAUUCAGCUGUUAUUAUUAUUACCCUGGUCGAUUUGCAGAGUCUGAUCUGGGCUGUAAGAUGCACUGGGUGUGUUUAAUUUACACUGGGAGAGGAUUUGUUUGGAUGGCAUGCAUAAUUUGCCAUCACCUGAGAUUUAUGCUGUCAUUUUUAUUACUGUCCUGCGGACGAAGAGGAGGAAUCAAGAGGAAUGGCACACAAGGCUGAGCAUGCUGACUGAACAGAUAAAUCCCACAUGACAUGGAUUGUUGUUUACACUUUUUAAAGGUGAUUCUCUAUCAGCCGACUCCAUGUGUUUUUUAUUCAUUUUCUGUGUGUGUGAUUUAACCUUAGCACCUGGAGGAAUGACCACCUGGAAAAAAAAGGAGGAAUCACAGCUACUUAAAUGGAGCAAAGGUGUGAACGGAUCAUUUCACCCUCAGACAUGAAUACGCAGAGAAGGCAGGGAGCAGCCUGAGACUGCCAUUUGAAUGGAAUCUGAGAGGUAAUUUGAGCUAAAAUGGAGUCCACUUCAGAGCCACUCACUCAGCCCCCCAUGGCAUCCACUGUAAUUCAUUAUUCCUGGCCAGCAGUGGGAGAGGCAAUGAGCGAGGGCAGAGGACAGGAGUGGACCCCGCUCUGGUGUAAUGAAGACUCAGUAGACCUAAACGACACACACAGACACACACACACUUGCACACACACUCAGUCUUUCAUUAUAUAUCACAGAGAGCAGGACAUUAAUGCCACUGAAGACCUUUUGGCAGAGAAAUAAGAGUGUGCAAUGAUUUUCUCCACAGUCAAUCCAUUUCAUUGACCUUUUCUAUCAUGCAUGUGACUCUGCCCCCGCUCACUGCACUGUGAGAUAAAUAUUCCAGGAAUAACAUUCCACUGUUUAAUAAAUUAUAUUUUUGAAGCCAAAAUUAUGUGUCCAUUGGUGGUUUUAAGAGGCUUUAAGGAAAUGUGUUUUUAUAAAAAGCCCUGAUAUGAUUAACAAUUUUUGCUCAUGGGGAUGCAUUUUUAAACAUAUACAUCUUGUUUUUUCAAAUGAGUUAAAUUUGCUCUGCUUUGUUUCAAGACCAAGAAGAUUUAUGUUAUCUGUGUUUUGAUAAAAGUGAACAGGUGACUAGGUUAAACCUUUUACAUUGUCAGAUCUGGCCCUGCAAGACAUUUCUGUUCCUUGUCCCUCCACUAGGGGUCCAUAGAUGUCAUGUCCAGACAAGCUGAGAGGAUAAAUACUGUCAUCUGGUGGUAACAAAAGCCAUCACUACGGACUAGACAGCAUUGUAUUCUUGCGCUCUGCUGCACGGUUUAGUAUUUUUAUAUCUUCUCUUUCCUCUUUCAUUCAACAUUUUUCACUGUCACACAUGUAUUCAGUUUCAGAACAAGUUGUUAGGACCGAACUUCAUCCACCAAACAUCAGUUUAGGACCAGAGAAGGAGCAUGAAUCAAGCAAGUGCUGUUUUUGUGACAGCACUGCAUUAGUUUGUAAGAAGCAUUGGUCUGUUCCUCAAGAUGGUUUAGGGCUUUAUGAACUGCUUUAUGUAAAGUUUGGUAGUUUAGUCCAGUUAUGUGGCUCAUAUGUUUUGGUUUGAGGCUCCUCUAAAGAGCCACAAGAUAAAUUUAAGUGUUCGUAAGGUGACUACAGGCAGGCAAAUAUAGAAAACAUUAAAUACUGAUACAAAACUAUGUGUUAAUUUAUGGCUAUUUUUACAUCUUUGAGCCUUGAACACUUGAAAUGAAAUCACCUGAGGAGUUUAGACAAAAAAAAUUGUUCCAUGAUUGAUCUGCUACCAACUUCUAUUCAUAUAAAAUGUGUGAAAACGAUGGAAAACAUGAAUUAUUUAAAAGGCCAGAAGCCAAAAACUGCUACUUUAAUCUUUGCAAAGCAUUUUACAAAACUACUACAUGCUUUUUAAUGCCAUUGUACACUGUAAUCUAAAAAAAAAAAAAAAAAAAAGUAAAUCCAGUUGUGACAUACUGAAAAUGUAGCGCAGUAAAAAGUACAACAUUUAGUCUGAAAUGUAGUGGAGAAGCAGAAGGAUAAAGUAGCAUUAAAUAGAAAUACUCAAGGUUACUUCCACCCCUGGGAACCGCUGAGGGGCAGUAAGUUGAAGAGCAAUUAGUGUACGAAAGUCCGAGGAAGUAACGUAGUCAGGUUUUGCGCCCUAAACUGUUUUCUCAAUACAAAUGUGAACAGAACCCUUCUUUCCCAUGCAAAAGUUCGGUCUGGAGAUGUUGCAAAAUCACUGAAAUUUCUCAAGGCCAAACACAUCUUUAAGUGCUGAGGCAACUAGGCUUAGUUUGGAUUCUUGAAGAUGUUUUGCCUCAUAUUAAAGGCAUCUGUAGCUCCUUAACUUUAAAUAGUGAUAAACUGAUAUAUCAAGAUCCUACAGUGCAGUAAUAUUGCCACUGUAUGUCAUAUUGUUCCUGUACUAUUCUAUUGUUAUCUCAUUAUCUGUUAAACCACAAGCAUGUUUACAUAUAAUACUGCUUGCAUGCACAAAUUUGUCUAAUGUAUUCUAUGUUUACACUAUUUUUAACUACAGUUGAUUAGAUUUAUUGAGCAUACAUAUUAAUAUAUAAAUUAUUGCUCAUUUAUAUAUAAAUAUUAAUUCCAAACAUGCUACAUAUACUGCAGAACCUUGUGCCGGAUUAUCUGAAAACUGCAUUGUUAGUUUUGCAGGAUAAUGUGUAUCAUCUGUGGCAAAUUCUACCUUUCAUUUUUUAAUUAUGUCUGUAUAGUGUACAUUUUCUUUUUAUAGUGUAGUUUCCCUCUUGGGAUCAAUAGUUUGAUCUUAUACUACCUUCGAUACCAGGGGUAACCAACACAGUGCCCGCGGGCGCCUGGUUGCCCGCAGAGACCAUGUGAGUUGCCUGCUACACAUGUUCUAAAAAUAACACUAGUCACCAUGAAAUUCCUUAUAAAAAUUAUAGUUGCUGUUCUUUUUAAAUCAAAAAUAAUUACAUUAAUGCAGAUUUUAAAUUACAAUGUUUAUUAGAUUUUAAAAAAAAAAAAAAAAAAAAUGUCUUCGGUGUAAAUGAACUUUGACCGUGUCCGAGUCAGAGUUCACUGCGCAUGUCCAACCACCACGUCAUUCUGCUGCAGCGUCCGGACGCAGACACUUUGGGGAAGCUAGAUGUGGUUUUUACCCCCAAAACAUGACAGAGAAGUGAAAGAGAAAACACUAUUUUCACCAUGACUGGGAGGAAGAGUUCUUUUUCACGACAGUGAAAGAUAAAUGUAUGUGUCCUAUUUGCGGGGCAACUGUUGCGACGGCAAAGCGGCACAAUGUGGAGAGACGCUACUUUAGCCGCCACAAAGCUUCCAUGUUAACUAGCCACCUGGUAGCAUAUAGACUGUAUGUGCACUACGGACAGAAAAAGCCCGGUACUUAAAGGCAGCUUUGACGUGUACUCUACGUGGCUAAAAGUUGCUUCAUGGAGAAAAAUGAACCAUUAGAAAAGCUUGUUUCAGUGACGACAGACGGGGCUCCUCCAUGACGGAUCAGCAUUGUACGAUGCAGAGGUGAUCCAGACUUCCCAACAUUCCUACAUUACCACUGCAUCAUUCACCAGCCGGACAUAUGUAUGUACAAAAGUGACCGGAUUUGAUCAUGUGAUGACUCGUGUCGUGAAGAUCAUAAAUGGCUCCAAAGCCAAACAACCAGGACAUUGAAGGUGCUGCUGGAGGAGCUGUCAGCUGAACAUGGUGACCUGUUACUACACAGAAACCCCAUGGAUCAGCAGGGGACCAGUUUUGCAGCGUUUUUUGUCACUGUUGGCCGAAAUCAAGGAGUUCAUGCAAUCCAAAGGGGAAGACACCUUGCUGCUGGAGGACACUGAGUGGAUUCUUGACCUUGCAUUUUUAACGGACAUCACUGGGAAACUGAACCAUCUGAACUGUGAGCUGCAAGGUAAAGGUAAGACAUGAUAAGCUCUGCAAUGCCAGGCUUCCCACUAACACACAUUUACAGACAAAGAAAGAGGUAACAUGUUGUCAUUCAAAACACUGUACCAUUACAUAAAAAUGUGAAAAAUAAUUUGUUGAAAACAUGUAAUGAUUUGUUGUUAUGAUCUGUUAAAAAUGUUGCAAUGUUGGUGAAAAAUGCUGGUGAUUAGUACUAAUGUGAUAGGAUUCAUUUCAAAAUGUGAAAGAGUUGAUUUUUUUUUCUGACAUAACUGAUAAUUUGUACAAACAUGGGACAGAGUUCAUGAAUUGUUCAAAAAUGUUAAAAAGGUAGUAGUUUGUACAAAUGAAGCAUGAUUUGAUGACAGUUAAUGAUUUCCUAAAAAUGUUAGAAGUGAUAAUUUGCACAGAAAUGUAACUGGUGUGAUUUUGAACAAAAUGCUGCAAAUAUGCUGAUUCAUAAAAAACUGCCAAGAAAGAUAUUUACCAAAGUUUCAGAGAUGGGAUACCUCUGGCUUUUAAAUACUGAAACAGAUUUCCAUAUAUAUGUGUGUGUGUGUGUGGUGUGUGUGUGUGUGUGUGUGUGUGUGUGUGUGUGUGUUUCCUGCCCUCAUUGUUGAGGAAAUCGUUGUUAAUAAUUAUUGCAAGGAAUAAUUAACAUAAAUGUGAUCAGACAGUCUUUUUACAUAUUAUUUUCAUUAUUAUUGUUAUUAUUGUUUAAAGAUGAUGGCACAAGUUUGCUAUUGAGGAAGUUUGUAUCAAACAAGGUGUCCUUCAUACUACUCAGUACCCUUGAAGUUGCUCUCAGGUCCAAAAAGGUUGGUGACCCCUGUUCUAUACUAUGGUGUGAUGACCGCUCCACUAAGCUAUUUCUCCUUCCUUACAUGAAAUAUGAGAUUUUGGAGACGUUAAAGUGCAGCGAUGAGUCAAGUAAAUAACUUAAAAAGGCCACAUUUGAGUGAGGAGCUGUUAAACUUUCAUCGCCUUCAUGUUUACUGGCAGUCGACUCGCUGCAUCAAAUUACAGGCCAAAUAACAAGGAAUUUUCGAAGUCACAAAGGUGCUGCGAAGAGAUGAAAAACCGGCUUCAAACCUAUAGAUGGCGCAAAUCAAUAGAUCAGAUGGGACCCGGCUUGUCUUCUGGCCUUGAAGGAAGGACUGAGAGAGCAGGAGGAGGGGGAGAAAAGAGAGGGAGAGGGGGCGCUUUUGGCAAUAAGGAGGUGCUCUAAUGGAGUCUUUCAGUUUGCUGUGGCUGGAAAUGAAAGGAGGUUGAAGCCUGGCCAAUUAUUCAGCCUGAGAAGAGUAAGAGAGUGAAAGAGGAGGGAAGAGAGGAGAGGUGGCGUGUGGCGCUGGAUCACUGCCCCUUCAGAGACAUGGAGGAAGAGAUGGAUGGAUAGAUGGAUGGAUAGAUAGAUAGAUAGAAACACAACAGAUACAUAGAUGUAUGCAGAGCCUCCCAGAAUGAGGGUUUGAUUCAGAAUAGCUCUCAGAUAUUGGCCCCACUCCCAGAAAUGUUCCCCAGUGCAAAAGGUUAACUGUCAGUCCCCCGCUAGGUAUAAAUAGAAGUCUGCCCUCCAGAAAGGCGUGUUCAGAGAGGGGGUAGACAGAGGAAGGAGGGGAGGGGGCAGUUCCUCAUGAUCCCAGUGACACACAGGGGUGGGGGGUAGUUUCAGGGUUUUUCUUUUUUUUUUUGGUGGGUCGGGGAGGGUCUUGCAGAGAACAGGAAAGAGAGGGAAGAUGCAGCCAAAUGCAUUAUAAUGGCUUCGGAGACUGACAGAGAGCAGGGACAAAAGAGUGCCCUCAUCUAUUCAACUUGACUGUGACAGCAGACACAACAAAUGCCAUCAUCAGCACCCCAGAAAGCUCCAUUGCAAUUGAGCCGCGGCUGCAUUUGACACCCAAAUAAAAUCUGAGGGCUAUUGUUUCACUGAUGCUGUUGAUUUAUGUAAUUAGGCAAGUGUCUGGUAGUCAAAUUAAUUAUGUUUGUUUAUUAUUUAUCACCGGAAACAGAGUCAAUCCUUAUUUUUAUCUCACAUCUCCAACUUAAAUCCAACCCCAUAUGUGAGUAAUGACAAUACACAUACAUCCUCGUCAGGUGUUUUUAUUUUUCACUUAAAUCCAAGGUAGCAAAAACGAUACACAGCUGAAAUGAGACAUACGCAGAAACUCUAAAACAUCGAAACAAAAAAAGGUGCUUCACCACCUCAAAAAAUAAAGCUUCCUCUUCAGUUUAGCACACCUGAAUGUCAGCAGACCCAACCUGAAGUGAUGUGCCACACAAAGUAUUUAAAAAAAUAAAUCAGGUAUCCUUCAAUAAUGCUACUAAAUGAGAUUUUUUACAACAGUUUGACACAAUAUAUGUAUAUUUUUUUAACGCUGUCUCUCUGGUGAGAGUCAUUGGUAUUGACUCUAAAGGCAUGUAAAUCUCUGACAAAAGUCACAAAAAACCAAAAGAUGUUAUUGCUUUUUCUGAAUGAUCCACACUGCAUAUACUUACAAGUUUUAAUGUUUUUUAGCCUUUGUCAGAAAUAAUAAAUAAGGAAGGAUAAUCGGCUCAUGAAUAGUCUGAUUGCACUUAAUCCUUUAGACCCCCAAACACUAACUAGGUCUAGUAUGGUAAUAAUACCUGUCUGAUUACAUAGGCAAGCCAUUAUACAUACAAGCAGUAAUGUCAUUAUGUUUAUACAAAUGAUAAAACUAAACUGUUAUAGUGACAAAAGCACUACAUUCUAUAAUACACAGGCAAUCACAGAUUGCAAAUCUUAAGUAAUAAUGUCCUGCCCUCUCAUUUAAUCGCUGUAUGUUCCCAAACUGUCAGUUUGAAGAUACAAUUCGAAGGGGGAAAAAGUGUCGCAUCACGCAGUAAAGCGUUUGUCUCGAUGGGAAGCAUAGGUUCACUCUACAAGACGAAAGUGAAAAAUUCACUAGAAAGUUCACUAGAAAGCGUUUUACUACCAUCACGGCAAAGUUGUGGGAUACUUCUAGUACAUUCUUUCACAACAUGGUCCACGCUGGUGGUUUGUUUCACUCUGCACAUGUUCACAUUUCUGA